GAGCGGUAAUACGAGAGCCCCAAGUGUUAUCCGGAAUUAUUGGGCGUAAAGGGUGCGUAGGUGGCUAUGUUAGUCUUUCGUUAAAUCUUUGGGCUUAACCCAAAAACCGCGAAGGAAACGGCAUGGCUAGAGGUUGUGUAGGGUGUAUGGAACUCAUGGAGUAGGGGUGAAAUCCGUUGAUAUCAUGGGGAACACCAAAAGCGAAGGCAGUACACUGACACAAAUCUGACACUGAGGCACGAAACCUAGG
rnacentral:rRNA from 1 species